rnacentral:rRNA from 1 species
GACGAACGCUGGCGGCGUGCCUAAUACAUGCAAGUCGAACGCAGUGGGGACGGGUGAGUAGCACGUGGGUAACCUCCCAUCAGAGGGGAUAACACUUGGAAACAGGUGCUAAACCGAUACUGAUGGAUGGACUCGCGGGGCAUGAGCCAGUUGGAGAGGUAACGGCUCACCAAGGCCACGAUGCAUAGCCGGCCUGAGAGGGUGAUCGGCCACACUGGGACUGAGACACGGCCCAGACUCCUACGGGAGGCAGCAGUGGGGAAUAUUGGGCAAUGGACGAAAGGCUGACCCAGCCACGCCGCGUGAGUGAAGAAGGUUUUCGGAUCGUAAAGCUCUGUUGUUAGAGAGGCGGUAUCUAACCAGGAAGCCACGGCUAACUACGUGCCAGCCGCCGCGGUAAUUC